GUUUUCGACCCGUCUCUCCACACUCCUCCAAACCAUCUCGGAAGACGGCGAGAGCUCAGUUCGGCUCUCCAGGGGCGCCGCUGCAGCGGCGGGUUUCCACAAUGGCGGAGGACUCCGGCGCCAUCCUCCGCCACAUCUCCUCCCUCAAGGACAUGCUCGACAAGGUCAAUGAGGAGAUUGAACAAAAUAUACAAAGGACCAGGGAAAUAGAAUCAGAAAUAAUGAAACAUUCUGAAACAGAAAAAGACUAUCUUGACAAGGAGUCUGUGUUACUGAAAGAAGUAUCAGUUGCUGAGUUUGAACUCAAUGGCCUUAUCCAAGUUGCUGCUGCCGAAACAGAUUUACUGAAAGUGACAGAGGGAAAUUUGGAGUUCCAGAAAGUUGCUCUCAAUGGGAUUCAAAAAAGAUUGUCUGAUAAGAUGGAAAGGUUCAUCAACGAAUCUAGGGGGUUUCAAGCUAAUAUGGUCAAAGGUUCAAAUGAAGAUUUAGUUAUCUUACUGAAGGAAAAAGGUUUGCUGGAUGAUGAGAAUGAGAACCUGAAAAUAAAGAUCAACACUAUACAUAGUUCAUCGAAGGAAUACAUUGCAGAGAUUCUUGAUGAAGUAAAUACAGAAAAUUCAGACAGGAGAUUACAGCCUAGAGGUUAGUUGUACAGCUGCGAGCCUGCGGAAGCCAGUAAGAGUGAGGCUGCAGUAGAAGCAGAGUCAGCAUUGGGACACGGAUGAGAGUGCUUUGGUCAAUGUAGCUACUUGUUAGAUGGAAAGAAGAACAAGGAAUCAUGGCACGCCCACAGAGACAGGAAGAGACUGGUAUGCAUUGGCGAUGUCAUUAACGUGACGACAUCAUAUCUGUAGUAGCAAUCUUUGUUCUGGAGUCUGAGCUACGGUACAGGAUUUCUGAAUAUAAAGAUAUUCUGAAGGAUAUAAACAACCUGAAGGUUCUGUUUAGUUCAAGCAAUUCAUAGGACUGAUCCGUGUCAGGGCAGGUAUAUUUGCUCUGGCCUGACAAUCAAAUUUGUUGUUUGAUUGUGAUUUUUCUUGUUGAUGAGGUAGCCCACCACGUCAUAAAAAAAAAGACAUACAAGGCUGCUACUGACAUCUGGAUGAAGGGGAAAAAUGACAGAUUCUCCGGUAUCUUAAUACCAAUAGUUUGUACUCCCUCUGUUCGUAGCAAAAUCUAUGUAUCUAAAUUUUCAAAAACGGUCGUAUGAGCACAAUUUAGAAUAGAGGGAGUACAAUCUUCUUUUCUGAGAAGAGAAAGAAACAUAGAACCAAAAUAUUAUGAGCUUGCUACGUAUGAGACUGCCAAUAAACAUCAAAUUAUGAGCUUGGCUACGUAUGAGCCUGCCAAGAAACA